AUGUGUUGUCCAAGAUCAAGAAUAACGAGCACAAUUGGUCGUCUCCUCAAUGAUAUCCUAGGCCUUGAGAGGGAGAACAGGGAGAGAAACCUGGAUUAUGUCUCACUACUUGUUCUCCACAGGGGUGGUUCUAUGUCAAUUGAAACGGCUAAAGAAACGAUACAAAAGGCCAUAGCCUCAUGUAGAAAAGGCUUGCUAAAGCUGGUUCUUAGGGAAAACACAGUUGUUCCUAGGCCAUGCAAGGAGCUGUUCUGGAAGAUGUGCAAGAUAGUUCACUUGUUCUACUCUCAGAUUGAUGGAUUUAGCUCGCCAAACGAAACGGUGAGCGCGGUUCAUGCAGUUAUCAACGAGCCGCUAAAACUUCAAAUCAACAAUCGACCUUUGCCCAUGCAGACAGAAAAUUAA
rnacentral:rRNA from 1 species